UUACAAAUGUCUAUCCAGCUGCUACUCACCCUUAUGGGACACGCAUCCAACACCUUGCGAGCAAGAACAGAAUAAAUGGGCAUGAUUCUCAUCCGAGUUCUGGCAUAAUAAACAAAAGGGCGAAGUGUGCAUAUUAAAAUGCAGCAUUCGGUCUUUUGUCAGAAGGCGCUCCUUAAGAAUCAGCCACGCAUAAAAAGCAUAUCUAGGAGUAUUGAAAUUGUUCCACACAAAUAAAACCAGGGGGGUUUAAUACGGUGGGAGCAUAAGUCCGCAUAAAUAGUGGCAAUCUUAACAGGACCCGAAACACCAUUAUUCCAACUGAUUUUAUCAUGAUCAUAAAUCCUGAGGCUACUACAUUCCUGUCUAAGCUCACAAAUCUGACGAAGAUUACUAGCACCAAAGUCCCAUUGGCCAUUCAACUGAACUCUGCUAAGAGGAGACAUGUUAUUCAACUCAAGGUCCAAGAGGAGAGAUGUGUCAAACCUGGUACUGGGCACCAGUUUAUGCAACAAGGAUCGUGCCAGAAAAGAAAAUUCGAGUUGCUGCCAGGAGAGUACGAGAUGAAUUGUUUAGCCAGAUCACGACUUUGAAGAAUACGACGCAAAGACCACGAACAUUUAUACGGGAUAGGCAUAGUCCAGAACCCUUUGCGCUUUAGAUUGUGGUGAUACAACCACUCAAUCCAAAGAGAGUCAUCCCGGUUAAUGAUUCUCCAAAGCUGAUACAGAAUAGC
rnacentral:lncRNA from 1 species